rnacentral:rRNA from 1 species
UACGUAGGGUGCAAGCGUUGUCCGGAAUUAUUGGGCGUAAAGAGCUCGUAGGCGGUUUGUCACGUCGGAUGUGAAAACCCGAGGCUUAACCUCGGGCCUGCAUUCGAUACGGGCUGACUAGAGUUCGGUAGGGGAGACUGGAAUUCCUGGUGUAGCGGUGAAAUGCGCAGAUAUCAGGAGGAACACCGGUGGCGAAGGCGGGUCUCUGGGCCGAUACUGACGCUGAGGAGCGAAAGCCAGGGGAGCAAACGGG